GAGUCUGUAACAGACUACACUACACCUUCUUCUCAUCCUAACACAGUGGCUACUAGCAGUACAAAAAUGGAGGAGACUUUGGUGACGAACGUGCCCCUGCCCCACACCCUUCCCCUCCCUAGGAGGGAGACUCUACAACAGAGCUCCAGCCUAACUCCAGUUUCUCCCGCUACCGUCGACCUCACCCUCAAGAUGGAGUCUGCACGCA